AUGUUAUUAAAACUUGAACUAAUGCAUUGUGAGUCUUAUAAAUUGCUUACAUACCUCACCGAUUUCUGCAUGUCUGGAAAACGCUCGGUUUAGUUCCUGUCUCCGCCUCCCAAAAUGUCUAGUGUAAUCGGAUUGGUCAGAUGACUACUCAACUGUUAUUGGUCAGCUGGGUUCGGCUUGUGUUUGAAAGGUUACGCCCCUGACUACGCGUGGGUUGACACAGAUUCUGACUGAGAGUCACAGCCUCAGAGGCAUCGUAAACAAGCGUUAUAUUUCUCUAUAAACGAUGGUGUCUGUACUGCCUUACCACUUCGAGCUCGAUCCAGAGAGUUCAGACGGCCGUUACGAUAUAAACGAUCUCCGUCAAUGAACGCGAUUGGAUUUAACUUUUUUAGGUGUCCUUAGCUCUGCCAGAAUGCUAAACGAAGACGAAAAUGUGUUGCAAAGACAUCCAAAAGGUUUUAAGGAGAAUGCAACAGGUUCCAGGGCCUCUUACCUGCGUGAUUCAUCAUCCAGGUUUUGCACAAAUUGUCUAAAUCCCUACACACAGAACAUUUAUUGUACCGACUAUAAGCCUUUGAGGCGCAGGACUAGAAUACGCUUGGAGCUUCCUGAUCGGAAUGUUGGCUUCCGACGACCCCUGCACUGAAGAUGGCAUGCAAUCACGUCCUCCUUUGAAGGUCUCUCAAACUGUGAUGCCAGGUCCAUUGGAAUCGGGGUUUCCUUCAGCUUAUCUUCAAAUACCUCAUCAAACACAAGCCUGAUCACAUCAUCCACAUAACUGUACAAAUAUUGCGGUCAAUAAAUCUUUUGU